UUGUAAGUGUGGAUGAUACCAUUCAAGGUACCAAGAUGCCAACCCUUCAGGAUGGGAGGCUGGGUCACCUUGUAUCUCUCAGCAUGGUAACAGUCUGGGGCCAAGUCCUGGGACUCUGUCCCUCCUUUCACAUCACAAGCUGUGGGCAGAGCACCCCUUGGGGUGGGGGCAGGAAGAGGCUGAGUUUGCUGUUGGCCUGGCCGGAGGCUUCCCACAGAGGCUUCCAGGAUGCCGGACGGCCUCCUCCUUGCCCUGGGCUGGCCUGCUGCAGGCGGGGCCUGCCAGGGAGUGCCUUGCCUGGAAGGGAGGGCAAAGGGCCAUGUCGUUCACUUGCCCCACCCUGCUGACAACAGUCUCAGUCAUCAGGCCACCCUCUGUGUCCGGCGCCCUCGAGGGGUAAGUGUCCUUCUGAAUCCACCCACCUUGUCCUUUCCUGAAGAUCUGGUGAGAAAUCCUUUCCUCCUUGGGGGUCCAAACACCCUGCCCACUCUGCUUGCCCUGCGGCCAAGCAGGGGCCACACCUGCCACCUCCUCUGCCUGGCCCAGGUCCUCCUGCUCUACUUCGCAGAGGAGUCUGAGACUGGGGCACUAGGGGGCAGGUUCAGAACACCUCGGCCCCCUCCCCUCCUGACAUCACCAUCAAGGCCAAGGCCAGGGCGGAAGGGCCCAGAGUGGGACACCUCAUCCAAUCAAACCUGAGAUCAUUGCCCUCUCCUCUGCCACGAUACAACGAAGCCCAGAAUCCCAAGUGGCUGGAGCACUGGGGGACAGCCAGACAGAGCUCUCCCUGGACCAAGUUCUCCAGGAGCGGGAUGAAGCCAUUGCCAAGAAGCGGGCAGUGGAGGCCGAGCUGGACACAUGCAAAGCCAGGCUGCGCGCUGUGGAGGCCCAGCUGCUGGAGGUCCUGGCGGAGAAACUGAGACUGAGGCAGGAGGUGGAGGCCUGGGAGGAGGACAUGCAGCAGCUGGUGCGGCAGCGGGUGCAGAGUCAGCUGCAGAGAGAGUCCAGGGGUGCUCUGGGAGCCCACGCAGACCCUGGAGCUGCCAGGACCCCCUGGGCCAGGUUCCCCCGGGGUCAGCGACGCUGGUGGUGAGAGCUCAGCCUGGAACUCUGGGAGCAGUGUCUUUAUUCAUUAAAGUCUGAGGUCUGACCAGCCCCA